UACAUUGACCCGUUAGAUUUCUUCAAUAAUUCACGCCAUUAUAAAUUGCAAUAUUUUAAACGCUUUUUUUUGGUCUCGUAAAAAGAUUCAGCUCAGUCCACAAUACGGUCCUUGCAUUCCAGGGAAGAUGAAAUGUUCCUAAUAUCUGGCGGCCUGAGUGAUUAACAAGGUCUCUCAUUAAUCUUCAAAGUUUUGACAAGACGGUCGGUCAGUCACAAAAUAGUACUUUCACCAGAGCAGACACGCAGUUGCUAUUUGCCUGUAUGAAAGUUACAAACCCCUGACAUCAGCCUCUCUGAUCUUGGACACAAUGAUCAAAACCUACUUUUGCCGAUUUUCGAUGGGGGACAGAAAUGUUAGCUUUUCAAAGGAAAAAGUUUUUUUUCCGAAAUAGGUCCAAUGCCUUCCAUCCCCAGACAGCACGUGGUGUCUCCUUUCACCGGAUGGAAACUUUUUACCCCUUAAUUCCUGAAUGUGUGUGUAAGUGUCUGGGACUUGUUUGGUAAUAAAGAUAUUUACAAGAUUGCAAAAAAAAA